CCUACGGGGGGCUGCAGUGGGGAAUAUUGAACAAUGGGAGAAACCCUGAUGAAGCGACGCCGCGUGAGCGAUGAAGGCCUUCGGGCCGUAAAGCUCUGUCCUAAGGGAAGAAUACUGACGGUACGUUAGUAGGAAGCCAUAGCUAUCGACGGGCCAGCAGCCACGGUAAUACGUAGGGGGUUCGCGUUAGCCGGGAUUACUGAGCGUAAAGGGUGAAUAGGCGGACCUUCAAGUCAGAGGUAAAAGGAUACGGCUCAACCGGAGUAAGCCUCUGAAACUGUAGGGCUUGAGGGCAGGAGCGGAGAGGGGAAUUCCCUGUGUAGAGAUGAAACGCGUAGAUAUAGGGAGUAACACCAGUUGCGAAGGCGGCUCUCUGGACUGUAUCUGACUCUGAGGACCGAAAGCGUGGUGAGCGCACAGGAUUAGAUACCCCAGUAGUC
rnacentral:rRNA from 1 species